GCCAAUAUUACGAAUUACGUUAAAGUCUCAGACCUUAUAACUACUUUACGCUUUGCAGCUACUGUUCUGUUACGGAUUACGUUGAUUUUUGGGAGGUUGUCUACGUAUUAUGAAGCUGAAAAGGCCUGAUUACGCCUUACGAAAAACGGCAUGCAGGCCCCGAGAAAAAUCCCACCAUUCCUCGCGCGAACUGUAACAUCCGGUUUGUUUGUCGUUCUAAAUGUUGAAGUUGACGGCUGUAGUACCGGGGUAAUACCUUAUUUGCGAAAUGCCUAGACGUAAGAAGAAAAAAUUGACUGAGAGGUUGAGUGCAUGGAAGGAAGA